CCUACGGGUGGCUGCAGUGGGGAAUAUUGGACAAUGGGGGAAACCCUGAUCCAGCGACGCCGCGUGGGUGAAGAAGGCCUGCGGGUUGUAAAGCCCUUUCGGUAGGGACGAAAACUCUUGAUCUAACAAAUCAGGAGCUUGACUUAACCUACAUAAGAAGCACCGGCUAACUCUGUGCCAGCAGCCGCGGUAAUACAGAGGGUGCGAGCGUUAAUCGGAAUUACUGGGCGUAAAGCGCACGUAGGCGGCUUUGUAAGUCGGAUGUGAAAUCCCCGGGCUCAACCUGGGAACUGCACCCGAAACUACAUUGCUAGAGUAUGGGAGAGGGAGGCGGAAUUUCCGGUGUAGCAGUGAAAUGCGUAGAUAUCGGAAGGAACAUCAGUGGCGAAGGCGGCCUCCUGGACCAAUACUGACGCUCAGGUGCGAAAGCGUGGGGAGCAAACAGGAUUAGAUACCCCAGUAGUC
rnacentral:rRNA from 1 species